AAAGAUAUACAAAAAAACGGAUUUGCAGAAGAUAAGCUAAACACAAGAACCUAAACCGAGAAAAAAGAACAAUAGAACUUUAAACAAACAAGACUACAACUAGAUCGUUGAAAGAUUCAAAGGAUACAUAGGCCAAGGCUGAAACAAGAAGCAAGAAUACCAUCCCCAAGAAGAUAGUUAAACCACAAGAACUCACCCAAAGACAACAGCA
rnacentral:lncRNA from 1 species